ACACUGACAUUAACUUGGAGAAGCACAGCAACGGAAGCCUUACUCGAACAAAGGACUCCGAGAGGCCAGACCCAUCACACACACUUCCUGUGGACUGCAUUUCAAUUGAGGACAGAUUGAAUCAUGUGUUCUGGAGGUUUUGCCAAAUGCCUGGGGAUCACCCUCAUCCCUCUGGCCAUCAUCUGUAUCCUCUGCAACAUUCUGCUCUUUUUCCCUGGAGGUGAAGUGGCCGAUAAGAGUGAUAACAUCACAGAAGAAGUCUUUUACUUAGGAGGAAUUCUGGGAUCUGGUGUGCUGAUGAUUUUCCCUGCACUGGUUUUCCUGGGUUUGAAGAACAAUGACUGCUGUGGUUGCUGUGGGAAUGAAAGCUGCGGAAAACGAUUUGCGAUGUUUAGUUCCAUUCUGUUUGCCGCGGCUGGAGCUGUUGGUGCUGGUUACUCUGUUAUUGUGUCUUGUGUGGCCAUUAAUCACGGACCUAAAUGUAUUACAGAUCAAUUUAACUCUAACUACACAUACCCAUUUGAGAAUGGAAACUAUCUGUCCAACCGCACACUGUGGAAUGAAUGUUUGGAGCCAUCCGGUAUAAUCACAUGGCAUCUGACCCUGUUUUGCAUCCUGCUGAUCGCUGGUCUGGUCCAGAUCGGUCUGUGUGCCUUCCAGGUGAUCAACGGACUUAUCGGCACUAUCUGUGGAGACUGCUGUGGAUGCUGUGGGGACUCCAAUUAAACUACACUGAAUGGACUCCGAUCAUGAGAAUGAUUCUUCAGCAAAAAUCAAACAACAAAAUCUAAUUUUCUCUCAAGGAAAAACAGGAAACAGCCUGAAGGGGAAGCAAUGUAAAAAAAAAAAAAUACUCUAGUAAUUUAUUUCCAGGUUAUAAAGAAAAGGCUUUGUGUAAAUGUUUGUUGUUCUGCCUUGUGAUGUUGAUGUGUUAUCAGGGUUUUUAUGAGGGGAAUGUUGUUUUAUGAUGCGUUUACAGGUAAUAGCUCACAUCUUCACACAGAAAUGAUUAACUUUAUGCCUCUGUGACCCAUGUGACUGAUACUUUGACAAAAACUUUCCCCCAAUACUUUUAUCAGGUUUAUUGUGGUAUAAACUAAAGAUGUUAUUGUUAUAUGAUAAAUAAUUCAAUAUAAACUGAUUGCAACAGAAACUUUUCACGUUAUAGACCUGUAGUCAG